rnacentral:misc_RNA from 1 species
GUGGCACUGAUAUAAUUCUGGGUGGUAAUGCUGAAUUUAUGGCAAGGCUGAAGUUACGUGAGCUGCUUAUGCCAAGACUUGUCAAACUAACUAAUGGAGUUUUUGUAUCUGUGAAGAAGCCUCCUCCAAAGAAAACAUGGAAGGUGAACGAAAAUUUAUUUCCAUGCGAUCUUUCAAGCGAGAAUACCAAAUUGGCUGAAGAAGCCGUACAGUUUGCUGUGAAGACUUGGGGUCAGAAAUCACUAACUGAG